GUGCAGGCCGCGAGGGGAGUGCGGGCCCUGAGAGGGUUCCGACGCGGGAUGUUCUCGCCUAUGGUCGAGGAUGGUGACACCCUUGGGGUGUCUGAGGCUUCCACAGCAAGGGCUUGAAGGGGAAGGAUUUUAUGGACUAUGCCACUUCUGCAAUGAAUGCAAAAAGAUGUUAAAAAAAGAAAGAUACCAGCCAAUCUAUGAAAAAUUAUUACAUAUAUGCAAUGAGGAAAUACACGAAAACACAAGAUGCCAAAAGGAGCUUUCAGCAUGAGAACCAAAAAGGAGAAUGUGCAAUUGCAACAAUUAUUCUGAAUCGUGGAGACGUCAAUCAAGUCUAAAAUUAACAUCUGGCUUUAUAACGGACCAAAGUGAAGCCCAAAAGCAGAGCACUGCCAAGCAAUUAAGAAUAGUGCCUCAGUCAGAGCAGGCUUCAUAAUGAUAUCUUCUGUCUUGUAAAACAAAAGACUGGCACACCAUCCUCAAGAGAUUGUUGACCAGUGGCCUUCUAUCCGUCUGCAGCAAGGAGUAGAAAAUAACUUAAAAAAUUUACUUGAAAUUCAGAACACUGCAUCUGGUGAGUGGAUUACAGUGAAAUGGUUGCUGGAAAUUGUCCAGAAGAAGUGUAGCCAAGAGUGCAACACAGAAUGAGGCAACACUGGUAAAGGGAAAGAGAGCUUUGUGAGCAGAAGCGCCAGUGGCUUGACCGAGUGGUGGUGCAGUUUGUGCAUUUUCCAAGUAAAUUCCUUAGAAAC